GCUACUGCCAUCAGAGUUCGACUAAGCCAUGUUAGUCGAGGGUGCCCCUUCUUCGGGAGGGGUAACCUGGCGGACGGCUCAGUAACACGUGGACAACUUACCCUUGGGACCGGGAUAACCCCUGGGAAACUGGGGCUACUACCGGAUGGAGCAUCGGUUGCUGGAAUGCACGAUGCUCGAAAGCUGAGGCGCCCAAGGAUAGGUCUGCGGCCGAUUAGGUUGUUGUUGAUGUGACGGAUUAACAAGCCUACGAUCGGUACGGGUUGUGAGAGCAAUAGCCCGGAGAUGGGUUCUGAGAAAAGAACCCAGGUCCCACGGGACGCAUCAGGCGCGAAAACUUUACAAUGUGCGAAAGCACGAUAAGGGAACUCUGAGUGCCUCCUAAGGAGGCUGUUCAGGUGUCUAAAAAGCACCUGAAGGAAGGGCUGGGUAAGACCGGUGCCAGCCGCCGCGGUAACACCGGCAGCCCAAGUGGUAGCCAUGCUUAUUGGGUCUAAAGCGUCCGUAGCCGGUUGGGCAAGUUCUUUGAGAAAUUUGACCGCUUAACGGUCAAACUUUCAGGGAAUACUGCCCGACUUGGGACCGGGAGAGGUCAGAGGUACUCCGGGGGUAGGGGUGAAAUCCAUUAAUCCCCGGGGGACCACCAGUAGCGAAGGCGUCUGACCAGACCGGGUCCGACGGUGAGGGACGAAGGCCAGGGUCGCGAACCGGAUUAGAUACCCGGGUAGUCCUGGCUGUAAACGAUGCGGGCCAGGUGUUGGCAUUACUGCGAGUGAUGCCAGUGCCGAAGGGAAGCCGUUAAGCCCGCCAUCUGGGGAGUACGGUCGCAAGGCUGAAACUUAA
rnacentral:rRNA from 1 species